rnacentral:rRNA from 1 species
GCUCAGUAACGCGUAGUCAACCUACCCUAUGGACGGGGAUAACCUCGGGAAACUGAGAAUAAUACCCGAUAGAACAUUAUGCCUGGAAUGGUUUAUGUUUCAAAUAAUUUAUUGCCGUAGGAUGGGACUGCGGCCUAUCAGUUUGUUGGUGAGGUAAUGGCCCACCAAGACUAUUACAGGUACGGGCUCUGAGAGGAGUAGCCCGGAGAUGGGUACUGAGACACGGACCCAGGCCCUAUGGGGCGCAGCAGGCGAGAAAACUUUGCAAUGUGCGAAAGCACGACAAGGUUAAUCCGAGUGGUUUCUGCUAAAGGAACCUUUUGUCAGUCCUAGAAACACUGAUGAAUAAGGGGUGGGCAAGUUCUGGUGUCAGCCGCCGCGGUAAAACCAGCACCUCAAGUGGUCAGGAUGAUUAUUGGGCCUAAAGCAUCCGUAGCCUGCUUUGUUAGUUUUCGGUUAAAUCCAUACGCUCAACGUAUGGGCUGCCGGGAAUACUGCAAAGCUAGGGAGUGGGAGAGGUAGACGGUACUCGGUAGGAAGGGGUAAAAUCCUUUGAUCUAUUGAUGACCACCUGUGGCGAAGGCGGUCUACCAGAACACGUCCGACGGUGAGGGAUGAAAGCUGGGGGAGCAAACCGGAUUAGAUACCCGGGUAGUCCCAGCUGUAAACUAUGCAAACUCAGUGAUGCAUUGGCUUGAUGCCAAUGCAGUGCUGCAGGGAAGCCGUUAAGUUUGCCGCCUGGGAAGUACGUACGCAAGUAUGAAACUUAAAGGAAUUGGCGGGGGAGCACCACAAGGGGUGAAGCCUGCGGUUCAAUUGGAGUCAACGCCGGG